rnacentral:rRNA from 1 species
UGAAAUACGACUUCGCUCAUUUUAUUGGUUAUUGGACGAAGUAAUGGUUAACAGGAACAGUUGGGGGCAUUCGUACUUAAGAGUCAGAGGUGAAAUUCUUAGAUUUUCUUAAAAGACGAACUAAUGCGAAGGCAUUUUGCCAAGGAUGUUUUCAUUAAUCAAGAACGAAAGCGUUGGGAUCAAAAAGGAUCAGAUACCCUUGUAGUCAACGCCGUAAACGAUACUGACUAGGGAUUGGUGAGGCUAACCCUCAUCAGCACCUAAUGAGAAAUCAAAGUCUUUGAGUUCUGGGGAGAGUAUGGUCGCAAGGCUGAAACUUAAAGGAAUUGACGGAAAGAUACACAAGUCGUGGAUUCUGCGGCUUAAUUUGAUUUAACACGGGAAAACUUACGCAGGCAAAAAGCUAAAAGGAUUGACAGCUUGAUAGCACUUUCUUGAUAUGGCAGCGAGUGGUGCAUGGCCGUUCUUAGUUGGUGGAGCGAUUUGUCAGGUUCACUUCCCUUAACG